rnacentral:rRNA from 1 species
UACAUAUACGGCGGACGGGUGAGUAAUGCUUAGGAAUCUGCCUAUUAGUGGGGGACAACAUUCCGAAAGGAAUGCUAAUACCGCAUACGCCCUACGGGGGAAAGCAGGGGAUCUUCGGACCUUGCGCUAAUAGAUGAGCCUAAGUCAGAUUAGCUAGUUGGUGGGGUAAAGGCCUACCAAGGCGACGAUCUGUAGCGGGUCUGAGAGGAUGAUCCGCCACACUGGGACUGAGACACGGCCCAGACUCCUACGGGAGGCAGCAGUGGGGAAUAUUGGACAAUGGGCGAAAGCCUGAUCCAGCCAUGCCGCGUGUGUGAAGAAGGCCUUUUGGUUGUAAAGCACUUUAAGCGAGGAGGAGGCUACUUGGAUUAAUACUCUAGGAUAGUGGACGUUACUCGCAGAAUAAGCACCGGCUAACUCUGUGCCAGCAGCCGCGGUAAUACAGAGGGUGCGAGCGUUAAUCGGAUUUACUGGGCGUAAAGCGUGCGUAGGCGGCUUUUUAAGUCGGAUGUGAAAUCCCUGAGCUUAACUUAGGAAUUGCAUUCGAUACUGGGAAGCUAGAGUAUGGGAGAGGAUGGUAGAAUUCCAGGUGUAGCGGUGAAAUGCGUAGAGAUCUGGAGGAAUACCGAUGGCGAAGGCAGCCAUCUGGCCUAAUACUGACGCUGAGGUACGAAAGCAUGGGGAGCAAACAG